rnacentral:rRNA from 1 species
UACAGGGGGGGCAAGCGUUGUUCGGAAUUACUGGGCGUAAAGGGCUCGUAGGUGGCCAACUAAGUCAGACGUGAAAUCCCUCAGCUUAACUGGGGAACUGCGUCUGAUACUGGAUGGCUUGAGUUUGGGAGAGGGAUGCGGAAUUCCAGGUGUAGCGGUAGAAAUGCGUAGAUAUCUGGAGGAACACCGGUGGCGAAGGCGGCAUCCUGGACCAAUUCUGACGCUGAGGAGCGAAAGCCAGGGGAGCAAACGGG